rnacentral:rRNA from 2 species
UGGUCAAGAAGAAAAGGGCAUACGGUGGAUGCCUUGGCGCUAUGGGCCGAAGAAGGGCGCGGUAAGCUGCGAAAAGCUACGGGGAGCUGCAAGCAAGCCUUGAUCCGUAGAUACCCGAAUGGGGCAACCCGGCGGAGCAAACCUCCGUCACCCUAUGCUGAACACAUAGGCAUAGAGGAGGGCACCCGGGGAACUGAAACAUCUAAGUACCCGGAGGAAAAGAAAGAAACAUCGAACCCCUCAGUAGCGGCGAGCGAACAGGGGCGAGCCUAAACCAGAUUUCUUCGGAAAUCUGGGGUUGCGGGACCCUCGUAACGUGAAGACUAGACCUAGCCGAAGACACCUGGAAAGGUGCUGCGCAGAAGGUAAAACACCUGUAGGCGAAAGGUCGAAAUUUGCAGAGGGGAUCCCAAGUACCGCAGGACACGUGAAACCCUGUGGGAAUCCGGGGGGACCACCCCCCAAGGCUAAAUACCCAUAGCGACCGAUAGUGAACAAGUACCGUGAGGGAAAGGUGAAAAGCACCCCGGGAGGGGAGUGAAAAAGAACCUGAAACCGUAUGCUUACAAGCUGUCAGAGCACGGUUAAAGUGUGAUGGCGUACUUUUUGUAGAACGGACCGGCGAGUUACAUCUAACGUGCAGGUUAAGUUGUGAGAGACGGAGCCAUAGCGAAAGCGAGUCUUAAUAGGGCGCAAUGUACGUUGGAGUAGACCCGAAACCUGGUGAUCUACCCAUGUCCAGAGUGAAGCUUUAGUAAAAUAAAGUGGAGGCUCGAACCGACCUUCGUUGAAAAGGAGGCGGAUGAGGUGUGGGUAGGGGUGAAAUGCCAAUCGAACCAGGAGAUAGCUGGUUCUCCCCGAAAUAGCUUUAGGGCUAGCCUCGGUUUGAGGUAUACGGAGGUAGAGCACUGAAUGGGCUAGGGGCCUUCACGGGUUACCGAACCCAAUCAAACUCCGAAUGCCGUACUACCAUGACCGGGAGUCAGACUGCGGGUGCUAAGAUUCGUAGUCAAAAGGGAAACAGCCCAGACCAACAGCUAAGGUCCCCAAGACAUGCUAAGUGGAAAAGGAUGUGGGGUUGCAGAGACAACCAGGAUGUUGGCUUAGAAGCAGCCACCAUUUAAAGAGUGCGUAAUAGCUCACUGGUCAAGUGGCCCUGCGCCGAAAAUGAAACGGGGCUAAGCAUGACACCGAAGCUUUGGAUUCUCGAGGUUCGAUGUUCGAGAUUCGAUGUUCGAAAGGAGAACCGAACUUCGAAUAUCGAACUUCGAGAAUGGUAGGGGAGCGUUCCUAGUUCGUAGAAGUCGUACCGAAAGGAGCGGUGGAGGACUAGGAAGUGAGAAUGCCGGUAUGAGUAAGCGAAAAGGCAGGUGAGAAUCCUGCCCGCCGAAAACCUAAGGUUUUCUGGGGAAGGUUCGUCCGCCCAGAGUAAGUCGGGACCUAAGCCGAGGCCGCAAGGCGUAGGCGAUGGACAAUCGGUUGAGAAUCCGAUACCACCAAUAACCGUUUGAGGAUGGAGUGACGCAGGAGGGUAGGUUAAGCCAGCGGAUGGAAAAGCUGGUCCAAGCCAGUAGGGAGUGUGGUAGGCAAAUCCGCCACACGUAAAUCCUGAGAGGUGACGGGGAGCGAAAAAUAGUAGCGAAGUAACUGAUCCCAAACUGCCAAGAAAAGCUUCUAACGAGGUAGAUUGGUGCCCGUACCGCAAACCGACACAGGUAGGUGGGGUGAAAAUCCUAAGGCGCGCGAGAGAACCCUCGUUAAGGAACUCGGCAAAAUGACCCCGUAACUUCGGGAGAAGGGGUGCCUCGAUAUCGUGAAAGAAAAGCUUCUGGAGCGAGAAGAGGCCGCAGAGAAAAGGCCCAAGCGACUGUUUACCAAAAACACAGGUCCCUGCUAAAGCGAAAGCUGACGUAUAGGGGCUGACGCCUGCCCGGUGCUGGAAGGUUAAGGGGAAAUGUUAGCGCAAGCGAAGCAUAGAACCGAAGCCCCAGUAAACGGCGGCCGUAACUAUAACGGUCCUAAGGUAGCGAAAUUCCUUGUCAGGUAAGUUCUGACCCGCACGAAAGGCGUAACGAUUUGGGCACUGUCUCAACGAGGGGCUCGGUGAAAUUGUAAUGACGGUGAAGAUGCCGUCUACCUGCGACAGGACAGAAAGACCCCGUGGAGCUUUACUGUAGCUUGACAUUGGGUUUUGGUAUUUGAUGUACAGGAUAGGUGGGAGACUUGGAAGUCGGGACGCCAGUUUCGAUGGAGUCGCCGUUGGGAUACCACCCUUUAGAUAUUGAAAUUCUAACUUUAUGCCUUGAAGCAGGUAUAAGGACAGUGUCAGGUGGGCAGUUUGACUGGGGCGGUCGCCUCCCAAAAGGUAACGGAGGCGCCCAAAGGUUCCCUCAGCGCGGACGGAAAUCGCGCGUUAGAGUGCAAAGGCAAAAGGGAGCUUGACAGCGAGACCAACAAGUCGAGCUGGUACGAAAGUAGGGCUUAGUGAUCCGGCGGUUCUGAGUGGAAGGGCCGUCGCUCAACGGAUAAAAGCUACCCCGGGGAUAACAGGCUUAUCUCCCCCAAGAGUCCACAUCGACGGGGAGGUUUGGCACCUCGAUGUCGGCUCAUCGCAUCCUGGGGCUGAAGUAGGUCCCAAGGGUUGGGCUGUUCGCCCAUUAAAGCGGUACGUGAGCUGGGUUCAGAACGUCGUGAGACAGUUCGGUCCCUAUCCGUCGCAGGCGCAGGAAACUUGAGAAGAGCUGUCCCUAGUACGAGAGGACCGGGAUGGACGGAUCACUGGAGUACCAGCUAUCGUGCCAACGGUAGUGCUGGGUAACUAUAUCCGGACGGGAUAAGUGCUGAAAGCAUCUAAGCACGAAGCCCCCUUCAAGAUGAGGUUUCCCACUACGCAAGUAGGUAAGAUCCCAUGCAGACUACGUGGUAGAUAGGCCGGGUGUGUAAGCACAGUAAUGUGUUGAGCUGACCGGUACUAAUAGAUCGAGGUCUUGACCAAAU